AGCCCCGUGGUGUAGUGGCCAAUCAUGUUGGAUUUUGGAUCCAACGACCGCGGUUCGAAUCCGCGCGGGGCUA
rnacentral:tRNA from 1 species